UACGUAGGGUGCGAGCGUUGUCCGGAAUUAUUGGGCGUAAAGAGCUCGUAGGCGGCUUGUCGCGUCGACUGUGAAAUCCCGAGGCUCAACUUCGGGCUUGCAGUCGAUACGGGCAGGCUAGAGUUCGGUAGGGGAGAUCGGAAUUCCUGGUGUAGCGGUGAAAUGCGCAGAUAUCAGGAGGAACACCGGUGGCGAAGGCGGAUCUCUGGGCCGAUACUGACGCUGAGGAGCGAAAGCGUGGGGAGCGAACAGG
rnacentral:rRNA from 1 species